UACGGGGGGGGUAAGCGUUGUUCGGAAUUACUGGGCGUAAAGGGCUCGUAGGCGGCCAACUAAGUCAUACGUGAAAUCCCUCAGCUUAACUGGGGAACUGCGUGUGAUACUGGAUGGCUUGGAUUUGGGAGAGGGAUGCGGAAUUCCAGGUGUAGCGGUGAAAUGCGCAGAUAUCAGGAGGAACACCGGUGGCGAAGGCGGCUUGCUGGGCCUUACCUGACGCUGAGGAGCGAAAGCGUGGGGAGCGAACAGG
rnacentral:rRNA from 1 species